UAGGGAAUCUUCCGCAAUGGACGCAAGUCUGACGGAGCAACGCCGCGUGAGUGAAGAAGGAUUUCGGUUCGUAAAACUCUGUUGUUAGAGAAGAACAGCGCAUAGAGUAACUGUUAUGCGUGUGACGGUAUCUAACCAGAAAGCCACGGCUAACUACGUGCCAGCAGCCGCGGUAAUACGUAGGUGGCAAGCGUUGUCCGGAUUUAUUGGGCGUAAAGCGAGCGCAGGCGGUCAAUUAAGUCUGAUGUGAAAGCCCCCGGCUCAACCGGGGAGGGUCAUUGGAAACUGGUUGACUUAAGUGCAGAGGAGGAGAGUGGAAUUCCAUGUGUAGCGGUGAAAUGCGUAGAUAUAUGGAGGAACACCAGUGGCGAAGGCGACUCUCUGGUCUGUAACUGACGCUGAGGCUCGAAAGCGUGGGUAGCAAACAGG
rnacentral:rRNA from 1 species